rnacentral:rRNA from 1 species
AUUGAACGCUGGCGGCAGGCCUAACACAUGCAAGUCGAACGGUAACAGGGAUCAGCUUGCUGAUUCGCUGACGAGUGGCGGACGGGUGAGUAAUGUCUGUGAAACUGCCUGAUGGAGGGGGAUAACUACUGGAAACGGUAGCUAAUACCGCAUAACGUCGCAAGACCAAAGAGGGGGACCUUCGGGCCUCUUGCCAUCGGAUGUGCCCAGAUGGGAUUAGCUAGUAGGUGGGGUAACGGCUCACCUAGGCGACGAUCCCUAGCUGGUCUGAGAGGAUGACCAGCCACACUGGAACUGAGACACGGUCCAGACUCCUACGGGAGGCAGCAGUGGGGAAUAUUGCACAAUGGGCGCAAGCCUGAUGGAGCCAUGCCGCGUGUAUGAAGAAGGCCUUCGGGUUGUAAAGUACUUUCAGCGGGGAGGAAGGGAGUAAAGUUAAUACCUUUGCUCAUUGACGUUACCCGCAGAAGAAGCACCGGCUAACUCCGUG